GGGGAUAUAAUUCAGUGGUAGAAUGCCUAUUUUGCAUGUAGGAAGUCAUCGGUUCGACUCCGAUUAUCUCCA
rnacentral:tRNA from 1 species